rnacentral:rRNA from 1 species
CCUACGGGUGGCAGCAGUGAGGAAUAUUGGUCAAUGGACGAGAGUCUGAACCAGCCAAGUAGCGUGAAGGAUGACUGCUCUAUGGGUUGUAAACUUCUUUUAUAUGGAAAUAAAGUGUUCCACGUGUGGGAUUUUGUAUGUACCAUAUGAAUAAGCAUCGGCUAACUCCGUGCCAGCAGCCGCGGUAAUACGGAGGAACCGAGCGUUAUCCGGAUUUAUUGGGUUUAAAGGGAGCGUAGGUGGAUUGGUAAGUCAGUUGUGAAAGUUUGCGGCUCAACCGUAAAAUUGCAGUUGAAACUGGCAGUCUUGAGUACAGUAGAGGUGGGCGGAAUUCGUGGUGUAGCGGUGAAAUGCUUAGAUAUCACGAAGAACUCCAGUUGCGAAGGCAGUUCACUGGACUGCAACUGACACUGAGGCUCGAAAGUGUGGGUAUCAAACAGGAUUAGAUACCCUAGUAGUC